UCGGAUAUGGUGUAACGGCUAACAUUGCCGCCUCUCAGGUUGUUUGCGCGGCAGCUCGGGGUUCGAUUCCCCGUAUCCGAA